rnacentral:rRNA from 1 species
UACGUAGGGACCAAGCGUUGUCCGGAAUCAUUGGGCGUAAAGAGCGUGUAGGCGGCUUGUUAAGUCUUGCGUGAAAUCUCGGGGCUCAACCCCGAGCGGUCGUGAGAAACUGGCAGGCUAGAGUGCGGGAGAGGAGAGUGGAAUUCCUGGUGUAGCGGUGAAAUGCGCAGAUAUCGGGAGGAACACCGGUGGCGAAGGCGGUU